rnacentral:lncRNA from 1 species
UGAAAUUCGUGAGAUGAAAUUUGUCCCCCAAACCGAGGAAGGUGAAACUUUACUUGGCCGCUUUAUCACGUGUUGCAUAAUCGUGGCCCUUUAUGAGUCGACUGGAGUAGGAAACCAACCCCAUCGACAUUGACAGAAAUGCUCGCUACUCCGUCAAGAGUAUUUUUCCUCUAGUUUGGACUCGUCAACUACUCUUAUAAAUGGAAUUGCAAUAGAAAUGGAGACAGAAUUUUCUGCUCACAUCAAACGUCUAUAACAACUGGAUUACUAUAAUAUUCCCACACUUUUAAAUUUUUGACAAAUAUCGUAGUAGAAAAUGACUUCGACACUAGACGAUGUCAUCUAGCAUGUCACGAGUUACAUUGGUUCUUUCAGGAUUAGAUCGAAUUUUGUCUAUAUUGAUAAUUGUUGUAGACAUUGUUGAAUUGAAAUAAAAAUAAAUAUCUGGUAUAUUGAUAAUUGUUGUAGACAUAUCUGGUAUAUUGAUAAGUGUUGAAUUUACACUUAUUUAUAUCACUAAAAGUGGGUUUUGUCAGCGUUAUUUUGGAUUUAAUACUUCAUUACUUCCAUAUUCUAGAUUAUUUUAAGAGAAAACCUGAAAUCGGAUCAAGAAGGACAAUGUCGAAUGAAAGUUGUGUUUUUGGAAUAAAAUCCCACACUUUAUAAGUUGAUGGACUAAAUUGCAACAUUUGAAAGCGUGGAGGCCUUGGGGAGAAAUGUUAUAUUCGAUUGGGCUACUUGGACUUGGACUUGCAAUUGGAAUUAAAUUCGGAAAUUGAAAAAGAAAACAAAAGCAGGCAGCAUGAUCCUUUUGGACUACAAACAGCUUGUGACAGAAGGGAGAUUAAGGAGACCCAGAUGACUCGGACGGGGGGAGAAAAAGAAAGAAAGAAGAGAAAAAUUCCAAUUUUGGCUGGGCAAUCAAAAUUUUGUGCGACAAAUUGGGGAAUUACUCACAUUCGUCGUCAAAAUAGUCGGGAGAUUUAUACUACGCAAGGAAGGAGACAAAGAAUAUUGUUGGAAUUCGUGUGACUAAGGAUCGACAACAGCUCGAAGUUAUUUUUAUCUUAUUAAUUGUAAUUGAACUCGAUGAUGCCUUUUAACUUUUAUUUGUUUAAUUCCA